GACGAACCGUGCGAACGUUGUUCGGAUUCACUGGGCUUAAAGGGCGCGUAGGCGGCUUGCCAAGUCAGGGGUGAAAUCUUUCGGCUCAACCGGAAAACGGCUUCUGAUACUGGCAGGCUGGAGGGAGGUAGGGGCAGAUGGAACUUCCGGUGGAGCGGUGAAAUGCGUAGAUAUCGGAAGGAACGCCGGUGGCGAAAGCGAUCUGCUGGACCUCCGCUGACGCUGAUGCGCGAAAGCCAGGGGAGCAAACGGG
rnacentral:rRNA from 1 species